GUUAGGCGUUAGAGUGCAACUCCACAAACCAUCGCGAAUCUUACCCGUACGGUUGCCUCGGCGCUGGCGGUCCGGAAGGCCCCUCGGAGCCCCCCGGACCCUCGGGUCUCCCGCUCGCGGGAGGCUGCCCGCCGGAGUGCCGAAACCAAACUCUUGAUAUUUUUAUGUCUCUCUGAGUAAACUUUUAAAUAAGUCAAAACUUUCAACAACGGAUCUCUUGGUUCUGGCAUCGAUGAAGAACGCAGCGAAAUGCGAUAAGUAAUGUGAAUUGCAGAAUUCAGUGAAUCAUCGAAUCUUUGAACGCACAUUGCGCUCGCCAGUAUUCUGGCGAGCAUGCCUGUUCGAGCGUCAUUUCAACCAUCAAGCUCUGCUUGCGUUGGGGAUCCGCGGCUGCCCGCGGUCCCUCAAAAACAGUGGCGGGCUCGCUAGUCACACCGAGCGUAGUAACUCUACAUCGCUAUGGUCGUGCGGCGGGUUCUUGCCGUAAAACCCCCCAAUUUCUAAGGUUGACCUCGGAUCAGGUAGGAAUACCCGCUGAACUUAAGCAUAUCAAAAGGCCCGGAGAGGAA
rnacentral:rRNA from 1 species